GUGUCCUCGAUAAUGCAUUGUAAACAGUCGUGAAACCCUCUCCUCUGGAAGGGGUCCCGCAAGUCUAUCCUCUUCUAAAUCCGAAGCUUACUGGCUAUUAGAGCAAAGAAAGGCGACUUCCGUGGUCCUUAUGUUCAUCGAUCUCUCAUCUGCUGCUUCUGCCUGUCUCUGAAGCACAUCAUUUCUUGGGAAGGAGAAGGAGCAGAGCGUGCUGGUGGAGGAGGAAGUUACAGACUAGCACUCCGUCACCUGGCAAUGCUGUCUGCUUGGCAACCAACUUCGUGCCCUUGAGCGAGUCACGCUACCUCUAGAGUUCAAUUUAUUCAACUGCUCACCAAAGAAACUGCAGCCAUGCCUUAUUAACAGCAAUGGUCAUUGAAAUCUCAUGAUGAAACUUUUUUUUUUUAAACUGAGUUAAUACUCCAAGACCCCAGCCCAUGAAACAAUGGUAAUCAAAUUUAUGGUAUGUCUCCUCUGUUCAUCACACAUACAGAGGUUCACUUCACAGUGAUUUUAAAUGCAUCCAGGAUAACAACAAUGGCUAAAACAAGGCCACUGGAGAGUUUAUGGACAUGGACUCGCCUUGGUUUCAGGAAUAAUUGGUUCUCAGUAGAUGACUUAGAACGGACUGGAGGAGACACAUUCAAGGGAAGACAUGGAAGAGAUGAGCUAAAUGAUAUAAUAUGAUCAAGGCCCUCACAGCAGAGUGACUGACACCUGACAUGGCGGCAUCACACUGGAUUCACCUGAUGACUCAUAGACUUCCUUCUGAUGAUGAUGCUUCCCUGAGAACAAUUUCCCACUCCACCAAUGAAGCUGAAGCUGAGGCCUCACUCAACGUUCUGAGUCACCUUUCUAAGCCAUUAGUGAGCAUGUGAACCUCUCUGGGGUGGUGACUCAUUUAAUUAGGAACAGAUAAGUGAUAUACUAUGGCUGUCAUGCUGUUCAGUAGGCUAGGGGUGGCUAAGUAAAAGAAAAAUGAGCAAUAAACACAAAUUUGGUAGUUUAUAGUUAACCCCUAGGAUUGGGACAACUUUCAGGAAUAAUCUAAAGUUAACCAACACACAGAGAACUUUUAAUAAGAACGCCACUUUUCAUCGUACAUCUUUAUGGAUCUACAUGAAUUUCACUUAUGCCAUGCUGACGUAUGUGAAAUUUGUCUUAGACAGAGUCCAGGCUCUAAAGCCAUUGUGGACAGUUCUGUCCUUUCCCAGAUCUAAUCUUCAGCAAUGUGUCUUUAUUGACCACAACGAGCAUCUCAGGAAAAUGUUCAGGCCUUUUAUAAUGUGUGUGCCCAGCUCACAAAUGUCUUCCCUCAUGACUCCUCCAAAGUGACUUUUCAGCUCCCACAGUAAAAUGGCCUUCCUAAGCGGGUCCUAUUGGGUCUGUGUUCCCCUCAGGGGCUCAGUAACGGUCCCCAACCUCUUUCACGUAGCAUCUUCAGUACUUUCCCAAAAGGUAGGAGUUUGAUCUUCUGCUUCCUUAGUUUUCAGCAGGUCUCUCUUAAAAUAGGUUUACCACGUGCUGGGGAUAGAAAGAGGGCUCAGUGGUUAAGAAUAUCUGUGGCUCUUCCAGCGGACCUGGGUCUGGUUCCCAGCAUUCAUGUGCAUCUGUGUCACCAUGCGUAACUAUUGUUCCAGGGAACCUGAAGCCUUCUUGUGACCGGAGGGCACCAGGCAUAAACAUGGCGCUUGUAAUACAUGUAGGCAAACACUCAUAUGUAUAAGAUAAAUAAAUCUAAAGAAAAUAAUAUGUGCUACAUCUUGCUACAUGUUCAAGGGCAAGGACCUCAUUCUCUCAAACUUUGAAUGCUUUAAUCCAUAAACCAAUAACUGCUACUUUGCAGGGGUCCAACAACCAUUUCUUAAAUAAGUAAUGAAUAAAUGGGUGAAUGAUAAAAAGUUGAAACUCACUAAUACUACUUCAGUUGUUUGAUUCCAAUUUAAAUAUGUGUCUACACAUACACACACACACACACACACAC